UAAGAAGAAGCACCUGGAAAGGGGGAACU
rnacentral:piRNA from 1 species